rnacentral:tRNA from 1 species
UCUAAUAUGGCAGAAUAGUGCGGUGGACUUAAACCCCCAAAUAUAAAGAAUUUCUUUUUUUAGAA